AUGCAGUUAUUAGCCUGGGAGGGUUCGGCGCAGGGAGCAGCGCUGCCGCCAGCCUUGCUGCUCGCCCUUCGCCACCCGGCCCUGCCAGGGAAGAGGGCGGCGGGCGCUUGGCUGACCCGUGCCUGGCCGGGUGCCGCGGGGCCAAAGUCCUGCCCUGCUCGCUGGGACCCGCGGUGGGACAAGGCAGCUCGCUGCAGGGCGGCUUCAUCCACCGAGGGAGCUAAGGGAGGUCGUGUCUGCUCCAGCUGUGUGCAUCCCCAAAGCCACCAACGUUUUCUUCAAGUGGGAGGGAGGUGGAAGGGAAGGGGAAGGAGAGUGCUGGCUGGGUCCCAGCUCUCCCUAUUCCCCUCGGCUCUGGGAAGACGCUGCUGUCCCCAGGGACGCCUCUGUCCCCUUCUCCUGAGACCCUGACAAAAGAAGGCAGCUCCGGAGAUGAAGAUGUCUUGUGAGCGGGACCUGAAAGCGUGUUUAUACAGUUCCUCCCCUGCCAGCACAAUAGGUGCUACACAGCGGGCCAGCCAUGCAAAGCGAACAAGAAAAGCCUGCUGAAGAAAAGCUCCAGCAGCUACAAUACCCAUUAGCAGGGUGGAUUAAGCCCGUAGCAGUGCCUGGGCUUUGUACCGGGGCAGCUCUGGGCUACAAGCACGCAGCGUGGUGGCAGGAGCCUACAAAAGCCCGGCUUCUGCACGAUCCCACUGCCAGCAGUGCUAACCGUGCCCGUGCCGCGUUUAAUCCCCAUCCGUCCCGGGACCGUGCCGCCUCCUGCCCUGCCCGCGCCCUCUCCGAGUGCCCUGCCCGUGCCACCUUGCCCCCCUGCUGCUCAGCCCUGCUGGAUGCUAAGUGGAAAUUUCCCCCCCGUGCCAAGUGUUAAAUACUUAACAAGCUAAUAGAGCGUCUUCGCGGAGGUGCGUACAUGAGACAACAUGUUACCAUAAUUAACAAGCAGCUGGAGUUGGCACCGCUCUCCGCCGCAGCUGCUCUCGGCAGCUUCCAGCUCCUUUCCCAGGGCUGUGGCUCUGCCUCCCCCCCAUGAUAGCGGGGGCACGCCUGGGGUCCCCUCCUCUCGGAGGGGAUGGUGGCGGUGGUUUCGAGCCCAGGGGCUGCGAAUCCUGGAGAUCUGGGGACUAUUUCUGAACUGUACAGGGAGUCUUGGAUGAGUGGGUCUGUUCUCAGCAGGCAAACCAUUAUACGGGGGGUGAGGAGCCACUCCGGGAAGUUUUGGGGUGCUCUGAGUUCAGAGGUUUAGGGAAACCCAGUGCUGGAGGGCGGUGAGAUAGCAGGAGCAGUGCCUUGUCCAUGUCCCACCGAUGUGGCCACGGCAUCUCCCUCGGGUAGCUGCAGCAGUCACAUUAGUGCGGGGCUGUGGGGCUGGUGCUGGGGCAGAGGUGUCCAAGCGCCACCAGGAUCUGCG
rnacentral:lncRNA from 1 species